rnacentral:rRNA from 1 species
AUGUCGGUCGAUGGUGUGAAAACACUUCCUGAUGUCGAAUUCCAAAAACCAGCGAGAGGUUCCCCACUCUUCUUUGAUCCGUCUGAGGGCCGAGUGGCAGCGACCCGAGCGGAAGUGCGAUGUGUCUAGAAACUCGGGAUCGUAAAUGGAUUCGGGUACCAUUCUGAUCGCCUCUUUCAUGAUCUUUUCUAUGGGUAG